rnacentral:tRNA from 1 species
GCGGGCAUCGUAUAGCUAAAUAUUACCUCAGCCUUCCAAGCUGAUGAUGCAAGGUUCGAUUCCGCUGCCCGCU